UCGAUCUUUCUCUCUCUGUCUUUGAAGCCCCAAAUUGAUGACCUGUUGAUCUGUCAAUCUGUCUGGAAGCCCCAAAUCGACGAAGCCUGCUCCUCUCGAUCACUCUCUCUAUCUGGAACUGGAAGCCCCAAAUCGAAGACUCAAACUCAAAUGAAAUUGCAAAUGAAAG